GAUGAACGCUGGCGGCGUGCUUAACACAUGCAAGUCGAACGGUAAGGCCCUUCGGGGUACACGAGUGGCGAACGGGUGAGUAACACGUGGGUGAUCUGCCCUGCACUUCGGGAUAAGCCUGGGAAACUGGGUCUAAUACCGGAUAGGACCACUGCCUGCAUGGGUGGUGGUGGAAAGCUUUUGCGGUGUGGGAUGGGCCCGCGGCCUAUCAGCUUGUUGGUGGGGUGAUGGCCUACCAAGGCGACGACGGGUAGCCGGCCUGAGAGGGUGACCGGCCACACUGGGACUGAGAUACGGCCCAGACUCCUACGGGAGGCAGCAGUGGGGAAUAUUGCACAAUGGGCGCAAGCCUGAUGCAGCGACGCCGCGUGAGGGGUGACGGCCUUCGGGUUGUAAACCUCUUUCAGCACCGACGAAGCGCAAGUGACGGUAGGUGCAGAAGAAGGACCGGCCAACUACGUGCCAGCCGCCGCAGUAA
rnacentral:rRNA from 1 species